AUUGAACGCUGGCGGCAGGCUUAACACAUGCAAGUCGAGCGGAGUGAUGGUGCUUGCACUAUCACUUAGCGGCGGACGGGUGAGUAAUGCUUAGGAAUCUGCCUAUUAGUGGGGGACAACAUCUCGAAAGGGAUGCUAAUACCGCAUACGUCCUACGGGAGAAAGCAGGGGAUCACUUGUGACCUUGCGCUAAUAGAUGAGCCUAAGUCGGAUUAGCUAGUUGGUUGGGUAAAGGCCUACCAAGGCGACGAUCUGUAGCGGGUCUGAGAGGAUGAUCCGCCACACUCGGACUGAGACACGGCCCAGCCUCCUACGGGAGGCAGCAGUGGGGAAUAUUGGACAAUGGGGGGAACCCUGAUCCAGCCGUGCCGCGUGUGUGAAGAAGGCCUUAUGGUUGUAAAGCACUUUAAGCGAGGAGGAGGCUUACCUAGUUAAUACCUGGGAUAAGUGGACGUUACUCGCAGAAUAAGCACCGGCUAACUCUGUGCCAGCCGCCCCGUAA
rnacentral:rRNA from 1 species